rnacentral:rRNA from 1 species
UACGUAGGGUGCAAGCGUUGUCCGGAAUUAUUGGGCGUAAAGAGCUCGUAGGCGGUCUGUCGCGUCGGCUGUGAAAACCUGGGGCUCAACCCCGGGCCUGCAGCCGAUACGGGCAGACUAGAAUUCGGUAGGGGAGACUGGAAUUCCUGGUGUAGCGGUGAAAUGCGCAGAUAUCAGGAGGAACACCGGUGGCGAAGGCGGGUCUCUGGGCCAAAACUGACGCUGAGGAGCGAAAGCGUGGGGAGCGAACAGG